AAAACCGUCGUUUUUCCGACUCCAAAGAUUUUUAUUUUUCCGUGUUUUUCUACUGUGAAAUGAAAAUAAACAGUUAUUAGAAACAAAGACAGAGAUAUAUAAUUUACCGUUAUAAACCGGGCAUCUUUGCAUAGACUUAGAAUAAAAUUAACAGUUUUUAACCCGUACGUGGUUUUAUUAUUAAAAAUAGUUUCCGAAAUGCGUUUGAAAAGGAAGGGAUACGUUUUUUUUACUUUUUUAAUUUGUUUAAUCUACCAAAUAUUUAAAAUCAUGUUUGACUGAAAUGUGUGGACCAAACCGCUGUAGAGUAAAAAAAGUAGAGAUCCUUGCUGAGUAAUUUUGAAUCCUCCAUCAAAGCAGAAAACAAUAAAUUGUUGAUAACAUCGAUUGAACUUCGAACAUUCGAACUUCGAAUAUUGAGUGGAAAAAACAGUUUUUAUGAUACUGUGACUAGAAAUUAUCUAAAAUGAAUAAACUGUUUAAUAAUUAAGUGAAAAAGAAACGUACAACGAGUACAUUUCUAAGUUCGACAAAGAGUUAGUCAAACAUCUAGUGAGUCGACACCACUCAAGAUUCUGUCGACUUGAAGCCUAGAAAGUUGACCAAAGGGUUGUCUAGAAUGGAUUACCGUCGACCAGGGGCACGAAGGGUGGAUGAGGGGCACACAUCACGAGUUCUAGAUGGAGGAGAUCCGAGAACGCCAAUAGCCUGGCAGCAUAGGGACACUGCAGUAAACUAUAAUAAUGAGAAUCCAAGAACACCAAAUUCAAAUAGAUAUAGGUAUCCCCCAGGGACCGGUCCUACGACCCCCAGUAUUUCCAGCCGACGGGACCGCGGUCACUCUGCUGACCGGUACUCAAACCGCAGUCGGGGUAAUAAGAGCCGGUACGGUGCGGCCUACUCCGGUCCUCGGUCCCAGCCCAGCCCGUCCAGCACGGACGGUACAACAGAGGAGACGACGGAGACGGAUUCUCAACCGCCGCCGGAGCGAGAGCGGAGUGAUUACAACGGGCCAGUGAUGCAAGGAUACCCUGUGAUGGUUGGAUAUCCCAUGUUCUCCCCGUCCCUACCCAUGAUGGUUCCUGGUACAGGAUCAAUCCGAUCAGUUCAAUCUGUUCCUAUGCUAUCUCCUCCUUCUCACACCUGGGAUGGGGAACCUUGUCCUGUUCAUCAUCAUCAUCAUCAACAACCCAUGGUUCCUCUUGCUGCUCUUUACGGAAUGGGAGGUCCAAAUAUGGGUUACGGUCAUCCGAUGGGUUUUGGGCCAGCCUCAGUUCCAGCCUCCGUUAUAUCAGGGGCAACAACAGUGAGACGUGCACGAAGUGUUGCAGAAAUAUCUCUAGGGGGUCGUUACAAUCAACAGCAUCCACAAGGACAUGAAAUGGACGAAAGAAAAUCUUUCCACGCUAGUAUGAUGAGUCUAGGGCCGAACAUGAUAAUGCCGCAAAACAUGCGCACCGGUAGAGUAGUCCGCUCAGAAACUGGCGCGGCAUCCCAUUUACCUACGCGCGAACACCCUAAAAAGAUCUCACCGUUGCCCGGGAAAGACCUGGAAAAGCAAGUUGGAUUUGCUUGCUGCACUGGACAUUUUGUUGUUCUAUGGAUAAUAUUAGGAAUAAUCACUUUUGGAGUGCUACUGGGUAUAGUGCUAAAAUUCACCAUUUCUUAGAACAAUUGUAAACCAAAAAUUCACCAAAGUGAGACUAUUCUUAUAAAAUUUCAAAACAUUGUGAAAUUAAAACAAAACGUUGUUCAACACCAUAAAAACACAAGAGUGAAUCUAUCAAUUGCUAACAAUUUGGACUUAGAAACUUAGUUAAAAAGUGAUUUUACAGAUUCAAGUUUAGUGUUUAUAUUUGAAUUUUCCCUAAGUCUUGAAGCUAAAUAUUCAAAAUUGAAAAUAAAGUAUACAAUUGCAUUAUUAGCAUGAACGUUGUACACAGAUACAACAUUAAAUGUACAUAGAUUUUCCCAGCCAAAGAGCGAGGCGUGUACGUAAAAUUAGACUGCAUGUACAGAUUUCAUUAUGUACAGAUCUUUAACCAUUACAAUGUUAUUUAUUUAGUAACCAACUGGGUGACCUACUAAACAUGUUGAAUUAGAAAAGUAACUCCACUUCUUUAUUUAAACUUUUCACAAGUAAUAUUUUAAUGUUUUAAGGUUUUUUUCAACACUCUCUGAAAUAGAAAAAAACCUGUCGCAAAAAGGUCACAAUAAACUCAUUCACUUACAUUUUUAUCUAUGCAAAAUCUAUCUAAUUAGUUUCGGCGUAAAAUUUCUAAUUAGUUCCUUUGUAUUGUGUAUGUUUAUGUAUGUAGAAGCUGUAAAAUCAAACUGUGACGCUGUAUAGUUACCACAAUUCAAGUUUUAGUUGAUAAAUUUUGCCAAUUGAUUUAAUUUCAAAUGAUCCCGCAUUUAUAGAGAGCUAUGUCCUAUUUACAAUGGUACCAUUAAAACCUUUGUUUGAUCAAAAUUGAUCAUUUUCAGUUUAAAAAAUGACGGAUUAAAUUAAUGCAACUGAUGUAAAGAAAAAUUAAGUACUUUUCAAAUACAGGUUUAAAGGGUAUCGUUGUGAAUUGUACAUAUAUACCAUUAUUAAAUGAGGGCCACUUGAAAUUACGUUUACAGCCCCUUUAAACAGUCAUGUUGUUUUGAUUGUUAUCAAUGAUAUUUUAAUAUAGGCCAAGAAAUGUAUGAUAUCAUAAUUAUGUGUUAAAAUAGUACUUUUAGUCGUUGUCAAAAAUAAAAUAUUAAAUUAAAUUAAAA
rnacentral:misc_RNA from 1 species